rnacentral:rRNA from 1 species
UGGGGAAUAUUGCACAAUGGGCGAAAGCCUGAUGCAGCGACGCCGCGUGAGGGAUGACGGCCUUCGGGUUGUAAACCUCUUUCAGCAGGGAAGAAGCGAAAGUGACGGUACCUGCAGAAGAAGCGCCGGCUAACUACGUGCCAGCAGCCGCGGUAAUACGUAGGGCGCAAGCGUUGUCCGGAAUUAUUGGGCGUAAAGAGCUCGUAGGCGGUUAGUCGCGUCUGCUGUGAAAACUCGAGGCUCAACCUCGGGCUUGCAGUGGGUACGGGCUGACUAGAGUGCAGUAGGGGUGACUGGAAUUCCUGGUGUAGCGGUGGAAUGCGCAGAUAUCAGGAGGAACACCGAUGGCGAAGGCAGGUCACUGGGCCGCAACCGACGCUGAGGAGCGAAAGCAUGGGGAGCGAACAGGAUUAGAUACCCUGGUAGUCCAUGCCGUAAACGUUGGGCACUAGGUGUGGGGUCCAUUCCACGGAUUCCGUGCCGCAGCAAACGCAUUAAGUGCCCCGCCUGGGGAGUACGGCCGCAAGGCUAAAACUCAAAUGAAUUGACGGGGUCAUAGCUGUUUCCU